GACGAACCGUGCGAACGUUAUUCGGAAUCACUGGGCUUAAAGCGCGUGUAGGCGGGUGGGAACGUCGGAACCUGAAAGCCCCCGGCUCAACCGGGGAAGUGGGGCCGAAACGACCCGCCUGGAGGGACGUAGGGGGAUCUGGAACUUCCGGUGGAGCGGUGAAAUGCGUUGAGAUCGGAAGGAACGCCCGUGGCGAAAGCGAGAUCCUGGACGUCUUCUGACGCUGAGACGCGAAAGCUAGGGGAGCAAACGGGG
rnacentral:rRNA from 1 species